GAUGAACGCUGGCGGCGUGCCUAAUACAUGCAAGUCGAGCGAACAGACGAGGAGCUUGCUCCUCUGACGUUAGCGGCGGACGGGUGAGUAACACGUGGAUAACCUACCUAUAAGACUGGGAUAACUUCGGGAAACCGGAGCUAAUACCGGAUAAUAUAUUGAACCGCAUGGUUCAAUAGUGAAAGACGGUUUUGCUGUCACUUAUAGAUGGAUCCGCGCCGCAUUAGCUAGUGGGUAAGGUAACGGCUUACCAAGGCAACGAUGCGAAGCCGCCCUGAACGCGAGGUCGGACACCCUGGAAGUGAGGAACGGCAGAGACUCCUACGGUAGGAAGCAGUAGGGAAUCCUACGCGAUGGGGGAAAGCCUGACGGAGCAAAGCCGCGGGAGUGAUGAAGGUGUUCGGCUCGGAAAACUCUGUUAGUAGGAAGGAACAAAUGUGUAAGUACCUAGGAUGGUCUUGACGGUACCUAAUCAGAAAGCCACGGCUAACUACGUG
rnacentral:rRNA from 1 species